UGCCGAUCCGCGAUUACUAGCGAUUCCGACUUCAUGCAGUCGAGUUGCAGACUGCAAUCCGGACUACGACCGGCUUUUAUGGGGAUUGGCUCCAGCUCGCGCUUUGGCAACCCUCUGUACCGGCCAUUGUAUGACGUGUGAAGCCCUACCCAUAAGGGCCAUGAGGACUUGACGUCAUCCCCACCUUCCUCCGGUUUGUCACCGGCAGUCUCCCUAGAGUGCCCUUGCGUAGCAACUAGGGACAAGGGUUGCGCUCGUUGCGGGACUUAACCCAACAUCUCACGACACGAGCUGACGACAGCCAUGCAGCACCUGUGUUCCGAUUCCCUUUCGGGCACACCCGCCUCUCAGCAGGCUCUCGGACAUGUCAGGGGUAGGUAAGGUUGUUCGCGUUGCAUCGAAUUAAUCCACAUCACCCACCGCUUGUGCGGGUCCCCGUCAAUUCCUUUGAGUUUUAACCUUGCAGCCGUACUCCCCAGGCGGUCGACUUCACGCGUUAGCUACGGUACUGGGAAAUCGCUUCCCCAACACCCAGUCGACAUCGUUUA
rnacentral:rRNA from 1 species